CAUUGUCCAUUUAUGUGCUCAUUCUCUUAUGGAGGAGCAUUUCCCAUUGAACCUUUGCUCUCUUGGGAUCGUCCUCUGCUGACACACACACACACACACACGGUCUGCUCUCUCAUUACCACGUUUUUAGUCCUUUCCUCUAAUUUAUUAGUCAUUGAUUGUCUUGAGAU